UAUAAAAUUCAUCAUUAAUAAUUUUCAGAAAUAAAACAUUAUUAUAAAAAAAUCUUCUUGAUUAUGGUACUAUGCAUACACAUAAAUCCUUUUUCAUAAAAGGCCAAUAUGUUUUUUUUUAAUUGAUUUAAAAAGUAAAUAAUUAUCACUCAAUCAAUGUCAGAAUUGGAGAUUGCAAGAUGUCAGCAAAAUUAAUAGUUCAUAAAUUUGAAAAUGGUCAAGAUUGUAAAUCUUUAAUGAUCACGAUUAAUGAAGGUAGCAAUGAUUUAUCUGGGAUUCAAUUCAGUUCAUGGCUGGAUAGUUCAGCUUUUAGAAAGAAAGUAAAUGAGAAGUCUUCUCGUUUAGUAGUAAAAAUAGCAUCUGGAAGUGAGCUAAGUAAUUUUGAUUUAGAUUCUUGUGCCAAAUUGGUAGAUUCAGAAACAAACACAGUUAGGAAAUUAUGGGGUGAUGAUUACAACCAAAUUGAGAUGCAUUCAGUGAGUCUAAUUUAUAAUAAUGAUGCUAACAAUAUUAAUGCCACCAACAUGUCCUUAAAUGCUCUAUGUCCUCUAGAAUACAGCUUAGAAAAGGUGAAAGAAAAUAAUGCUCGAAUCAUGGAAAACAUUCACAUGCUUAAUAGAACACUGAAUUAUACUAAAAAGAAAGAAAUUUUGGAUACAAUUUAUCCAAAGCCGAUGCGAUCAUUUCCAUGUGAAACCUGUGGGAAAUGUUUUGUGUAUGAAACUGGACUAAAGAGACACUGUGCAAUGCGACAUACCACUGCAGAAGUACAGCCCCGUUGGCAAAUUGUAUGGACGUGUAUAGAGUGCUUUCAGGUGUGGCCUCAACAUGAUCUUGCAUUGAAACAUUCUAAACAAUGUUCAAAAUUAGACAGUGCUGAUUGUGUGCGUGAAAUAAAAACUUCAUCACUAUUACAAUGUGAGUUUUGUGAGAAAGUCUUUACAAGUAUUCCAAGACUACUGAAACAUACUAAGUUGCAUUCAACACAAAAUAAUUAUGAGUGCAACACAUGUGAAACCUCUUUCUUGUCAUAUAAAGAAGCUGAAGAGCACUGGCUGUUAUGCCCUUGGCUAAAAGCAUAUUAUAGUUUUUCUUUGCCAAAACUUCUAUUGUGCAAUGCAUGUGAUAGAAAAUUCAGAAACUAUGAACAACUUUACAACCACAGAUAUAAAAUUGGGCAUUUUAUGGCAAAGAAUAAUAGUGAUAAUUUGGGUACAUUUGUGUACCAAUGUGAGUUGUGCGGCAAAUGUUUCCCAUCUGUACAGCCUCUACAAACUCACAAAAGGCAAAGUCAUCCUUAUUUAGACAUAACAAGCUGCAAUGUUGCAGCCAACUAUAACAGCAUGUAUCUGACACAAGAAGAGCACUGUAAUGCUAUUGGAGAACAAUGACUAAUAGUGUGAAGAACAGUUGUUUUGUAAUAUACGUAAUAUGAAUAAAGAUAUUACUUAUAA